UACGAAGGGGGCUAGCGUUGCUCGGAAUCACUGGGCGUAAAGGGUGCGUAGGCGGGUCUUUAAGUCAGGGGUGAAAUCCUGGAGCUCAACCUCAGAACUGCCUUUGAUACUGAAGAUCUUGAGUUCGGGAGAGGUGAGUGGAACUGCGAGUGUAGAGGUGAAAUUCGUAGAUAUUCGCAAGAACACCAGUGGCGAAGGCGGCUCACUGGCCCGAUACUGACGCUGAGGCACGAAAGCGUGGGGAGCAAACAGG
rnacentral:rRNA from 1 species